rnacentral:lncRNA from 1 species
UCGAGCUUUGAAAUUUUUUCUAAAUUAUUUUCAAGGCUCGAUAAUUGUUUAUGAAUGAUUUCAAGUCCAAUUUCAAGUAUUUGGGACUUGAUUAUUUAUCCGAAAAGUGAUUCUUUUAUCGAUUUUAAUUCCGAAAAAUGUUUAAAAAUUCUGGAAAAAUUCCCGAAAAAUCAUUUUUAACCCAAGAGUUGAUUUGAUAUCAAUUGGGGUGGGAAACCUUAUGUGUUAUGUGUUGUCUGCUAUCUGUUUGAUGUGUUAUGUGCCGACAGAGGAGUGAGAAAACUGUUUUGAGCAUAACUUUUGAUCCGUAAGUCGGAAUCAAGUGAAACGAAAGAGAGAAAGAAGCUUAUAAAGUCUAGUUUGAUAUAACAUAAUAAUAUGAUGGAGUCGAGAAUGUGAGUAAUUGUUGUUAAAGGUGCCGAAUGUGAUUAUAUGUUAUUGGAUUGUUAUUAAUUGAUGAUUACGUGAUAUAUAUGUCUAUUCCUGAUAUUAUAAAAGUGAUAAAUGAUUCGUAGGACUGAUAUUGGAUAAGGAUAUAUGGAUUAUGAUGACUGGAGUUGAUUGAUUGGUUGUUGAUUGAAAUAGGUUGACCGGAGGAUAGUCUAAUAAAUAGAC